rfam:Citrus clementina cultivar Clemenules unplaced genomic scaffold scaffold_5, whole genome shotgun sequence.
GUGAAUGAUGAUACGUGCACUGGGCUCUGAGCGGAUUUUUCACCGCGUCUAUUGAUGGAAAUGCAGGCUAGAAAGCUUUAUCUGAUCU